GUGCUCGCUUUGGCAGCACAUAUACUAAAAUUGGAACGAUACAGAGAUUAGCAUGGUCCCUGCACAAGGAUGAUAUGCAAAUAUGUGAAGCGUUCCAUAUUUUU
ensembl:snRNA U6 U6 spliceosomal RNA